rnacentral:lncRNA from 10 species
ACGCCCGGGAACCCCCGACCCCUCUGAGCCCGGGGUACUGCGCCCGGGUCUCCACGCCCAGAGAUGCUCCCCGGUCUCCACCGUCGGGCAAGCCCCAAGCGCAGCAGCGCAGAGUCCUGGGGUCACCAGAGCUCGUACUAGGACAUCGUCUCCCCAUUUAACACCGCCUCCGGUCCCAUCUGAGUUGCAAGUGGUGGGGAUGUGGGGCUCCGGAUCAAAGUCCCCGAAACCGAGCACUUCCCGAAGCCUCCUUGGCCUCGAAACAAAACAAUAACGCCCAACUCCAUCAUAUUCCAGAACUCCCACCACCUGCAUACAGACAUUCAGCUGCACAAGCCCCCUCCAUGCUACAGUCAACAGGAUCUCCAGGCCACGGCUCAAGCCCAGGUACUCACAUCAGUGGUUCUAUCAACACUCAGGACAGACCCAUAGAAGAGGCCCAAGCAGGCCCUGGAAGUGCAUGUGGAGGCCACCAGGCAAGGAAUUCUGGAGUCCCAGGUACUCAUAACUCUGGGUGGCAUGGCCCCUUUGCACCAUGGACUGUUUGCCCUUAGAAAGGGAUGGAUCUGAGCUGGGCGCAGUGGCUCAUGCCUGUAAUCCCAGCACUUUGGGAGGCCAAGGUGGGCAGCUCACCUCAGGUCAG